rnacentral:rRNA from 1 species
GCAUAACUGUAAACAUUGAUAGCAAUUUACUCGCGAUCCGCCAGGGAACUACAAGCACUGGCUUGAAACCCAAAGGACUUGGCGGUGCUUUAGACCCACCUAGAGGAGCCUGUUCUAGAACUGAUAACCCCCGUUCAACCUCACCCUGCUUUGCCAUUCCCGCCUAUAUACCGCCGUCGUCAGCUUACCUUGUGAGAGAUUAUAAGUGAGCAAGAUUGGUACAACCCAAAACGUCAGGUCGAGGUGUAGUGUAUAGCAGGGGAAGAAAUGGGCUACAUUUAUCAAUCGAUAAAUACGGAUCUUUAAUUGAAAAAUAAAGCUGAAGGAGGAUUUAGCAGUAAGGAGAAAAUAGAGAGUUCUCCUGAAGCAGGCUCUGAAGCGCGCACAUACCGCCCGUCACUCUCCCCUAAUAUCUCAUAAAUUUAAGUAAAACACCUGAAAAAUUAAGGGGAGGCAAGUCGUAACAUGGUAAGUGUACCGGAAGGUGCACUUGGAAUAC